GCCGAGGGACAGGUGCUCUGGUAGCCUGGGCUCUGCAGAGAGGCAAGAGGGGUGAAUUCUGAGUCGCGGUCCCGAGGCUGUGCGCACCCAUUCUGCUGAGAGAACGAGACACAUGGUCAGUCUCAGGGAUACCCACGGGGCUGCCUGGGGUGACCUGAGCCACUCUGGGAUGCACUCACUACCAUCGCCUCCUGCAGGAACUGCUAGACUCAACUCAGGACACACCCUCGUCCUGAGGGCAGGCCGGGCGGGAUCCACCCCACCAGAGAAGCCAUAUGGAGGCGAGGGGUCUCUGUCUAGGAAUGAGGGCCUCUCCUUUUCAGUACCAACAGAGUGACCGUCCCCCUGUCCCACCAUCCCAGGGAAGAACCCAGGGGCCCCAGGGAUACAGGCCAUGGACGGGAAACCUACGAGCUUCCUCCCUGUAGCUGGCUUCCUGUGCAGUGAGCUCGAACGCCAUACCGGUACCCAGAGACCCUUGAACAAAAGGCGAACUCACUGCCCCAGGGAAGGCAGGCCCCACCCCACAGGGACCGGGUUGAUUUAGUACUGGACGUGCCCAGCUUGCAUCCCCUUGACAUGUUGCCUAGGAUGUCACCAUACGGAUGGGGCCUGCAUGGCUUCUGACAGCCCACUGGGGCCCCGGAUGUGCACGGGCCCUGUGGGUCUGACCAGCAAGGGGAGCGGCAGGAGGCCGGCAGCACGCAUCUGUCUGAUGAGGGGCCGUCCCCAGGUCAGCCCACUUUUAGACCAGGGGGCAGCGGCGGAUGCUGGCAGGAGCAGAUGUCUUCAUGGCCUCCAUGUCUGUUGGAGAGGCGACAAGCUAUGUGCUCCGGCUGGCACACAGAAGACCUGCACUCACACCUGCCUGGGCCCCAGUUCCACACAAACCAUGCAAUAACCACGUUUGAUUUCAAAGCACGGUCCUUCCUGAUGGGCCUUUUAAGUGAAGCUGUGUCCCCCGAAAGACCAGGAUCGUGAGCCUGUGUCUGACGAUGCUGGGUCUGGUCAGGCUGUGUGCCGUGCGUGUGGGGUGAGUGUGCACACGUGUGUGUGCACAGCAUGUUCCAUGUGUGGUCAGCUUGCCCUCAGGCGUGUUACUUACCUGGGACAGCAAAUGCAUGUGUGUGUAAAGAGGGCUGCUCUUUCUCACCGUGAACCUUUGUUAUCAAAGACAGCACAGCACAGCACAACUUUGGAGGAAAAACGGGUCUGACAGUCACAGCACACGGGCGGCGUCCAGCAGCCGCACAGUUACCUAGCGUGGAGCUAACUGCGCCUUGGCCGCCGUAGGAGGUCCUUCAGGAGGGGCCCAUCGCUGCUCUGUGCGGCCUGGACUGGAGCCUUG
rnacentral:lncRNA from 1 species